AAAUAUUUUUUUAAAAACCCCAAAACAAAAAACCCUCACUUAGCACAGCCCCUGGAAACAGUAAGGGCACAGUGUUAUUGGUUGUUCUCAUAAUUGUUAUAGGAAUGACCCUGAGCCUAUCCUGAGAAUAAACAUGGUGCGGAGGGAAAAAUGUGUCCUGUGUCCUGUACAGAGAGGUAGAGCAUGGGGCAGCGAGCUGCCAGGCCUGGGUUCCCGCCUGGCUCUGCCACAGUUCCUUGGGUGAACUUGAGUGAGUUCACUGGGAGAGCCAGUGUUUGGAGGCUCUGUAUUAGGAGGCUGGGAGAAAAAGGGGGGCCCCUGUCGAUUCUCGGAUGUGCAUCCUUAGUGCCAGGGCUGUGCCGGCACUGGGGGUUCUGAAUAGCUACUUGGCUGCCAGCUGGAUGUAAUGCAGAGGCUUUCCUCUGGGUGCCAGAAAGAGUGGGGUUUUCUGGGAGUCAUCAUUUCUGGAUUUGGCUUGUUCCCCAGAUGGGGUGUGUUGGGAGGGGCUGAACUUGGCAGAUGACCUGGGCUCUGGGUUUGGCUCAUCUUGGACUCGCAAUGGAACCCUUUGCUUCUUUGGGCCUCUAUCUCCCCACAUGUAAACUAACUGAUUGUUCCUUUCCAGUGAUAAAAUUCUGGAUUUUCUUUCCUACCUCGAAUGACAGUAGGUACUUGAAUGACUACUGGGUGCCAGGGGCAAAGCUUUCCACACACUUUAUCAACUUAAUCCUCACAGCUCUACGAGGCAGUUACUAUUAUUCUUCCACUCUGCAGAUGAGGAAAUGGGGGCUCCGAGAGGCAGGUGGCUUCCCCGAGAUCACACAGCUCGUAACGGACAGAGAUGGAAUUUAUGCUCCCAUAGCUUUGUGUAAGAACUUGCUCACUGCUUCAGCCCUCACGGCUCUCCCAUCCUCACACACCACGUGUCACUGGGCCACUCCCCUGGGCACGUUCUCCAAAAGUGCCUCCACUUCAAUUAAUUUUUAAAGAUGACGUUAAGAACAAGAUGGAAGGAAGGAAUGACACAGCCAUGACUCAUCAUGGAGAGAAGGCAGUCGAGGGAUGGGGUGUUUUAACAUGUCUGCUGCCUCACCAGGUGCAGGUGUCACUCCCUUCGUGCCCUUCCCCCACCCCUACCCUGCCCUGUGCACUGGCCACAGCCCUGACUGGCCUGGGAAGGGACACAGCUCUGGCUGUAACUCGGGCCCUACCAUGACCAGGGUCAACCCAGCACUCCAGCUUCCCAGGACCAGGCCUCCCUGAGGCGCCCCCGUGGUCGCAAUCUUCUCAUCGGCUGCCUGAUGCUGUAUGCUUACCUGCCCCCAGACUCUCCUGAGACCCUCUGAUGCCUUCAGGUGGAUGAAUUUUUUUUUAACUCCUAUGUAGUCCAGCUGUGAAAAUAAUUCCAGUAAUUUGAGGAACGCCUGCACACUCUGUCCUGCUCUUAUUCAUGCACAGACGACAUGAACAUAUUAAGGCUCUGUGAAGUCCUGCAAUUUCCCGAAGCAUCAUGGUCCCCAUUUGACACAAGCACAGGCUCCAGACAUGCAGGCCCAGCAGCCAUGGCUCAC